GGCAGUUUCUUGGCAAGAGAAGAAAAGCCUUGCAGAUAAGGAGGAAGAAGUCCUGCAGAAAGAAAUAGAAGAUCUUGGAAUAUGGGCUGAAAUGAUGGAUUCCAUGAAUGAUGAGCAGAAAAAGGAGUAUCUAUAUAACAGACCCCACGAACUAAAGACUGUGAAGAUCCAAAAAGGCAAACCAAGGCAAAGAGUCCAAAGAGGUGAGAAAUCCAAACCUUCUACUUCUAAUGGCAUUUUGGCUUCGGUAUGGAAGUUCCAUAAGGAAGAUGAUG